GGAGAUGCUCUAAACGGAACAAGGGUGGUAAUGGUUGUAGUAGUAAACCGAACCAUAAACCCAAGAAUAGAAGAAAGAAAUACAAUUCCCAAAUCAACUGGUUAGGGCACAAGACGAAGAAGACAAUCAUCCAUGGCGGAGAGAGUCGAAGCGAAGCCAUGGCGAGUUCUCGAGUUCUACAGUGGAAUCGGUGGAAUGAGAUACUCGUUAACGGCGUCGGGGGUCGAGGCAGAAGUAGUAGAAGCGUUUGAGAUCAAUGAUGUUGCUAAUGAUGUUUACCAGCAUAACUUCGGUCACCGUCCCCAUCAGGGGAAUAUUCAGAGCCUCACUGCUGGUGAUUUAGAUAGGUAUAAUGCUGAUGCUUGGCUUCUUUCUCCUCCUUGUCAGCCUUAUACUAGACAAGGCCUUCAGAAACACUCUGGUGAUGCUCGGGCGUCUUCGUUUCUUAAGAUCCUCGAGCUUAUACCGCAUACAUCUACGCCCCCUAGAAUGUUGUUUGUAGAGAAUGUUGUUGGAUUUGAGACUUCGGAUACCCAUAUGGAAAUGAUUGAUACGUUGACAAAAUCAGAUUAUGUCACACAAGAGUUUAUUUUGAGUCCGUUGCAGUUUGGUGUUCCUUAUUCAAGACCUCGUUACUUUUGUCUGGCGAAAAGAAAGCCUCUUUCAUUUCAGUCCCAGCACAAUAACAACAAGCUACUCUGGUCUCCAGGCCCAUUAUAUGGGCGUGAUGAUCAAGUGGAGUUUGAUAAAUGUCAAGCAGAAGAAGGAUCUGAAAACUUACUUCAGUCUUGCGAAUCAGUAGAGAAGUUUCUUGACUCAACAGCACAAGUAAACGGCGAGCCAGGUGGUUUUGAUGAGACCGAGAAUGGAUCCAGAGACUGUGAUGGACAUCAAUAUCUAGUACCAUUAAGUUUGAUAGAGAGAUGGGGAAACGCAAUGGACAUUGUUUACCCUGAUUCGAAGAGAUGCUGUUGUUUCACAAAGAGUUAUUACAGAUACGUGAAGGGCACUGGUUCCCUCUUGGCAACUGUCCAGCCAAAAGUCAAGGGGAAGGAAUCUUGUUUGAAAGAGCAACGGCUUAGAUACUUCACCCCUAGAGAGAUGUUUGGAUUCUAUUUUGAUUAGGUAGCUAAUUUUCACUCAUUCCCUGAAGACUUUGAGUUCCCAAAGCAGAUAAGCCUUCGACAGAGAUAUGCAAUGCUUGGAAACAGUUUAAGUGUAGCAGUGGUGGCUCCUCUGCUUCGGUAUUUAUUCUGUCCUUCUCCCGUCUUAGCUGUGGAAUAAGAAGCAGCAAGUGACUCUCGACCAAUGAUGGUCUGUUUUUUGCGACAUGACAAUGGCAUAACCAUGCAUCCGUUUUGUAUUACUGACAACAUUAUAAUUUUGUUUCUCAGUUACCUCAGCGUUCUCUGAUGUAUCUAUACUAUUAAAAAAUAAACAUUCUGAAAAAUCUACUUAUGUAAGAUUGUUGGACCCUUUCAUUAGACUAAUAUUUUUUGGUU